ACUCUUUCAACUCCAUCAAGCGCAUUCCACUCUUCCUUUGAGUCUUCUGUGAUCUUGCUACUGAUCUCAGAUGCAGGGCAUCCCACAUCACUUACAAUGUUGGAUCUUGUGCUAUAGUACAAGCAUAUGACUGCGCAGUCAUCGAUUUUCGAUUCUGGGAACUUUCUUUUCCAUGCUCUAACAGCACGCUUAACCACCAAUUCGGCUGCAAUGGAUCGCCUCUUUGCUGAAGCAACUAUCUUUACCACAUCAGUGUUUGUCAAUGCAUCCCACACCUGCACAAAGCACAGUCACCAAAUUUGUUCAUCAAAUGAUGUGAUGAAUACGAUUUAGAGCUAGGAAACUUCAGGCUUAGUUCAAGGAUUUUCAGGUUUCACAACCAUUUAUCUGCACUCAUUUCACAAUUGGGUAUGCUUUUUUAAUCAUCAAGUAGAGGCCUGUUUAGCAAUUCAAAUAUUAGUAAACAAAAAAUGUGUUGUUUUCCUACCCCAUCAGUUGCCAAGAUCACAAAUUCAUCACUGCUUGAGAUCCUUCUAUAGAAUACUUCAGGGAUUGAGAUUAGGCCACAAUCUUUGACACAGAAAUCUCCAAAAGCCCUUGACAUUGCUAGACCAGGGCAAUCUUCAUCGGGCAUCCAUAAUCUAUACACUUCUGGUUCUUCGUCCACUGAUAAAAUUCUGCCUUUGCAAUUCUUUAUUCUCUCAGCUUCACCUGAGUCAUACCAGUAGGGAAAAAUAAGAAGAUCAAUACAACUUUGAUCAUCAUGCUUCAA